UACGUAGGGUGCGAGCGUUGUCCGGACUUACUGGGCGUAAAGAGCUUGUCGGUGGUUUGUCGCGUUGUUCGUGAAAUCUCACGGCUUAACUGUGAGCGUGCGGGCGAUACGGGCAGACUAGAGUACUGCAGGGGAGACUGGAAUUCCUGGUGUAGCGGUGGAAUGCGCAGAUAUCAGGAGGAACACCAGUGGCGAAGGCGGCGACCUGGGCCAAUACUGACGCUGAGGUGCGAAAGCGUGGGGAGCGAACAGG
rnacentral:rRNA from 1 species